GGCCACGUGGCGCAAUGGAUAGCGCGUUGGACUUCGGAUCCAGAGGCUGCGAGUUCGAGUCUCGUCGUGGUCG